rnacentral:rRNA from 1 species
AACGAACGCUGGCGGCAGGCUUAACACAUGCAAGUCGAACGGGUGUAGCAAUACAUCAGUGGCAGACGGGUGAGUAACACGUGGGAACCUUCCUAGGGGUACGGAACAACUCAGGGAAACUUGAGCUAAUACCGUAUACGUCCGUGAGGAGAAAGAUUUAUCGCCCUUAGACGGGCCCGCGUCGGAUUAGCUAGUUGGUGGGGUAACGGCCUACCAAGGCGACGAUCCGUAGCUGAUCUUAGAGGAUGAUCAGCCACACUGGGACUGAGACACGGCCCAGACUCCUACGGGAGGCAGCAGUGGGGAAUCUUGGACAAAGGGCGCAAGCCUGAUCCAGCCAUGCCGCGUGAGUGAAGAAGGCCUUAGGGUUGUAAAGCUCUUUUGCCAGGGACGAUAAUGACGGUACCUGGAGAAUAAGCCCCGGCAAACUUCGUGCCAGCAGCAGCCGCCGUAA